AUGUUCCGGAGAAUGUUGGACCGGUUUUUCGCGCGCGUCCGUGGUCGAAAACCGCGCAAGCACCCCAUCGGACAUCGCGGGUUCAGCUUUCGUCGCUCGCGGCGCUCCACGCGGGACGAACGGGAACUACGCGCUCGUCGCUGGAACACACGAAUGGACUCCUACCACAUGGACGUUCACGAGUCCCUCUUCCCGGACCCCGGGAAUUCAUCCAGGAAAACCGGUUCGCAACCCUCGUCCUCGCGAAGAACCAGCGCCGAUUCUCCCGAGUUUUCAGCGCGGAGAUUCGGUUCCGGUUCCCAGCUCUCCGGGAAAACCGGUUCCGAUUGCUCCGCAAGAAAACCCAGUUCCGGAUCCCAAUUCUCCGGAAAAACUAGUUCCGAUUGCUCCGCAAGAAAACCUAGUUCCGGAUCUCAGUUCUCUGGAAAAACUGGUUCCGACUGCUCCGCUAGGAAAACCAGUUCUGGCUCGGAGUUUUCAAUUAGAAAAAGUAGUUCCGAGUCUCAGUUUUCAAAAUUUUCAGGCGCGGACGAUUAUGGGAUAAAAGCUGGUUUCACUUGCGAGUCCACAGGAAAAAGUAGUAGUUCCCGAAUGUUUGUGCGGAAAUCCAGUUCGACCUUCCAGAUUCUCGCCAAAAGUCCCGUUUCCGCCUCGGUGAAUCGUGCCAAUUUCAACGUGGAUCAAGAGAGCAGCACUGGAUUCAGGUUCUCGGAGAAAGGUGGCUCCGACUUCGACUCGAAAGACAAUGGUUUUGGAUCCGAAUCUGCCGGAAGAAAAACUAGUUCCGGAUCCAAAUCUGCCGACAGAAAAACUAGUUCCGGAUCCGAGUCCGGUGCGAGAAAGACUAGUUCCGGCUCGGAGUCUUCAAAAGGUAAAACUAGUUCCGGUUGCGGAUUUUCUGCCAAUAGAACUAGCCCUGAUUCUAAGCCGCAAUUCGCCGCAGGCGGGAACCUCGGCACGCGCUCUGAGGGGGUGGUUACCCCGGGUGGGACGAAGAGGAAGGAAAAGAAGACGGCGAUGAUCAUGAGGGAGGAGAGGAUGAUGAAGAGGACAGCCGGGAUCUGGAGAAGCGUAAGCGCUUGCUCCAGAUGUGCUCCAAGCAUGCAUCAGAAUAUCGUUCAUCAGACUUGGAACAUUUAA
rnacentral:lncRNA from 1 species